UGCCUGCCCGGUGAUUUAAAAAUUAAACGGCUGCGGUAUUCUGACCGUGCAAAGGUAGCAUAAUCAUUAGCCUGUUAAUUUCAGGCUGGAAUCAAUGGCAAGACGAAAAAAAGACUGUCUCUUUCUACUGUUUUUGAAUUUUUCUUUUUGGUGAAGAGACCAAAAUAAAGAAGUGGGACGAGAAGACCCUAUUGAGUUUUAAUUACUUUAAAAGUUAAUAAUUUUUUAAGUAAUUUUGGUUGGGGCAACUGUUAUUAAAAUUAAAUAUUAAAAGAAUGAAGGUGAAUUAAAUCAUUAUAUUUUAAACCCAAAAAUAAAUUUUGAAUUUAGAAAAAAUUACCUUAGGGAUAACAGCGUAAUUCUUUUUGAGAGUACUUAUUGACAAAAGAGUUUGCGACCUCGAUGUUGGAUCAAGUUUCCUGAAGGUGCAGCAGCUUCAAAGGAUGUCUAGGUCGACCAUAAAAAUCUU
rnacentral:rRNA from 1 species